rnacentral:piRNA from 1 species
UAGAGAAACUAGGCCCUUGGUGAUGUC